rnacentral:rRNA from 1 species
UUUAGAGUUUGAUUNCCCGCUCAGGACGAACGCUGGCGGCGUGCCUAAUACAUGCAAGUCGAACGCUUCUUUUUCCACCGGAGCUUGCUCCACCGGAAAAAGAGGAGUGGCGAACGGGUGAGUAACACGUGGGUAACCUGCCCAUCAGAAGGGGAUAACACUUGGAAACAGGUGCUAAUACCGUAUAACAAUCAAAACCGCAUGGUUUUGAUUUGAAAGGCGCUUUCGGGUGUCGCUGAUGGAUGGACCCGCGGUGCAUUAGCUAGUUGGUGAGGUAACGGCUCACCAAGGCCACGAUGCAUAGCCGACCUGAGAGGGUGAUCGGCCACAUUGGGACUGAGACACGGCCCAAACUCCUACGGGAGGCAGCAGUAGGGAAUCUUCGGCAAUGGACGAAAGUCUGACCGAGCAACGCCGCGUGAGUGAAGAAGGUUUUCGGAUCGUAAAACUCUGUUGUUAGAGAAGAACAAGGAUGAGAGUAACUGUUCAUCCCUUGACGGUAUCUAACCAGAAAGCCACGGCUAACUACGUGCCAGCAGCCGCGGUAAUACGUAGGUGGCAAGCGUUGUCCGGAUUUAUUGGGCGUAAAGCGAGCGCAGGCGGUUUCUUAAGUCUGAUGUGAAAGCCCCCGGCUCAACCGGGGAGGGUCAUUGGAAACUGGGAGACUGAGUCAGAAGUGA